rnacentral:rRNA from 1 species
CCUACGGGUGGCAGCAGUGAGGAAUAUUGGUCAAUGGGCGCAAGCCUGAACCAGCCAAGUAGCGUGCAGGAUGACGGCCCUACGGGUUGUAAACUGCUUUUAUACGGGAAUAACGCGCCUCACGUGUAGGUUUUUGCAUGUACCGUAUGAAUAAGGACCGGCUAAGUCCGUGCCAGCAGCCGCGGUAAUACGGAAGGUCCGGGCGUUAUCCGGAUUUAUUGGGUUUAAAGGGAGCGUAGGCGGCAUGUUAAGUGAGCUGUGAAAUGUCCGGGCUCAACCCGGGCAGUGCAGCGCGAACUGGCGUGCUUGAGUCCGGGGAAGGCAGGCGGAAUUCGUCGUGUAGCGGUGAAAUGCUUAGAUAUGACGAAGAACCCCGAUUGCGAAGGCAGCUUGCUGCAGCGGAACUGACGCUGAUGCUCGAAAGCGCGGGUAUCGAACAGGAUUAGAUACCCUGGUAGUC